GAUGAACGCUAGCGGGAGGCCUAAUACAUGCAAGUCGAACGGUAACAGGUAGCAAUACGCUGACGAGUGGCGCACGGGUGCGUAACGCGUACACAAUCUGCCUUAUACUGGGGCAUAGCCUUUGGAAACGAAGAAUAAUUCCCCAUAACAUAUAGAAGAGGCAUCUCUUUUAUAUUAAAGCUCAGGCGGUUAUAAGAUGAGUGUGCGUCCGAUUAGGUAGUUGGUGAGGUAACGGCUCACCAAGCCAACGAUCGGUAGCUGGUCUGAGAGGAUGAUCAGCCACACGGGCACUGAGACACGGGCCCGACUCCUACGGGAGGCAGCAGUAGGGAAUAUUGGACAAUGGGCGCAAGCCUGAUCCAGCCAUCCCGCGUGAAGGAUGAAGGUCCUCUGGAUUGUAAACUUCUUUUCUUCGGGAAUAAAAACUGGGGUUCUCCGUCAGCUUGAGGUACGAAGGAAUAAGCUACCGGCUAACUCCGUGCCAGCAGCCGCGUAAACG
rnacentral:rRNA from 1 species